UUCAUGAAGUCGGAAUUGCUAGUAAUGGCAGGUCAGCAUACUGCCGUGAAUACGUUCCCGGGCCUUGUACACACCGCCCGUCACACCAUGAGAGUUGGAGAUACCCGAAGCCUAUGAGCUAACUUUUAGAGGCAGUAGUCGAAGGUAGAAUCAAUGAUUGGGGUGAAGUCGUAACAAGGUAGC
rnacentral:rRNA from 1 species